rnacentral:lncRNA from 1 species
CAUAGUUAGCAUUCAGCCAUUUUGGUGUGACUGAGGAGGCUUGGCCUGCCUACAGCUUAAUUAUGUAUUCAGGAAUAUUAUUUAUUAUUAAUGUGUGACAAUUUAUAGUGUCAUUUUUAUGACUUGUGUGAAGGUCUACCAAUAUAUUUUCAGAUCAAGUUUCAGUCAGCUCUGUGAUUUUGGCCGUUCUUAGCUUCUGUGGCAUUGCUUUCUGCUCAUUCUACAUGUAUAAUAGAGAGUGUGUUGCACAUCCAGGAGGUGUUCUUGGAUCUAUUGUCCACUAUCCUGUUCCACUGCAAGAGAGGUCUACAAUGAAAUCAUCCAUUUGACUCAUUCCUCAAAUAUCAGUCAAAUUAAAUCAAAUAAAUACUACUUUCAAUGUACUGUUUAGUUGUCA